UUAGUGAUUCCUUACAGCGACAUUAUAUUAUUUUCCAUUAAGACAUGCUCGUUAUGGCCAGAUGCCAAACAGGUGAAACAGGCAGUGACAGUCAACCGAGUUAACGACAACCGAGUGCAGUUUAAUUAGCUUCAAAAUAAAAUGAAAUUUGAGCGAGAGAUUAAGAGAGAGGGAAGGGAAGGAGAGUACGCUCAUUAAAGCGGGCAAUGGUCAGCAGAUGGACAGAGCUAACCUUACAUUUUAUAUUUAUUAACCUUUACGCUGAAGCAAGUAAUGUCCUCGUUUCACUGGGCUUGGACUUGCUUCGCCCCGCUGCUCGUCCUGCUUGGCCACAACAAUAACUGUAAUUUCACUUUAUGACUGCAAAUCACAACAGCAGCAUAAAGGCAGCCGAAGGACAAUAAGGACGCACUGUGGCUGACCACGCACUCAGUUGUGUACCGCCCUAAAAUCCGCUGCCCCCCUCUCUUGCACCAAUUGCUUGUUUCUGGCAGAGAACGGACAAUGGUGCGUAUACGCAACCUUUUCUUAUGGACAAUUGAUGUCUCUGUUGACUGAAGCAGCAGCUACUGCUGAUGUUACUGCUACCGCUGCUGCUGCUAUUGCUACUGCUGCUGCUGCUACUACUGAUGCUUCAGCUUCAGUUGGCAGUUACCGACUGUCGUUGUUUGCCCGCCGGUCGCUGGGUCGUUUGAGAUGUUGUUGUUAAGUCCGGAACAUGACAUUAGCCAUUAACUCGGUGCAUGCACUCGCCUUUGGUUUACAUUCGCAAAUAAAACACACGCAGGACGAGGGCACAAAGCAGAAUCACUGUUGAAAUAAAAAUGUAUAAAAAA